GGCGGCGGGGCGCCCGCGCGCCAGCGGGGAGCGGCGCCAUUUCCUGCCCUCCCCCGGCGCGCGCCGGCUGCGCCUGGGGCGGCGGGGACGGGACGGGCACCGUGAGGGCACCGUGAGGGCACGGGCAGCGCCCCCGGGGCCCGGAGCCGGUCCGCCUCGGCCGGGGCCAUCCGCGCUCCCUUGGGCCCUGCGCGGGCCCCGCGGGGCCGCACGGCCGGCCCGGGGACCGUGGGCGCUCUGCCCGUCCCUUCCCGGCCUCCUGCCGCAUUGUCUGCGCUGCCGUUCCAGCCCGGCUCUGAGGGAGGAGGACGCUCUGCUUAAGGCUGUGCUUGGGAGUAUUGUCCUUACGAGAUUUUUAGAACCCUUGUCUAUCCCAGCUGGACUAUGUGACAUUUCACGAGAUCAUUAAUCAGUUAACAUACCUGGAGUUCAACUACCCUCAGGAGAAUUUCAGCCAAAGAACCAAUCAUAUGUAAAGCACCAUCCUUCUUGCGAGGAUCAGCGUUUGGCUCCGUGAGGAUUUGAUAACAAAAGCCCAUUGUCUUCUGCAGGACCUAGAUUACACGUAAGAGAAAAAAGGAUGCAGAAACAACAUUCUAGUGAAUGAAAACUACUUAAACUUGAAGACAAAUAGCCAAAAGCCACUUACAGCUGGUACAUCCCUAUCAACAACAGUCUUCAGGAUUUCUAUCCACUCAGUCAGGUUUUGCUGAUUUAUCAACUCCAAAGUUUCUCCUAGCAGGGUUGCUUUGUUCAACAUGUGCUAAAAGAGACUUUUGAGAAAAGUGUUAUACCAGCUGCAAAGUCCAAAAGAAGAAUGAAGUUCAAAGUUAACAUGGAAGAGACCAUUUCAUGGCAUGUGAACUAUGAAUAGUUAAUUACAACGUGGAAAAGCACUUUUCCUCCAGUAAUGAUACUCACUGCAGUAUCUUAAAUGAAUCUUUAAUGCUGGAAUAUUCAUCUCUCACACAAAGCCUGCAUGCCUCUAAAUCAUAAAACCAAGUUUCAUUUUGGGUAAAAAGACCUCCAUGCAUUCUUUUCAGACAUCAGGAAGCUGACAUACCAUAACAAACACACUACAAUAGGCACCUCCUUUACUGCUGCCCAAAAAAGCAGAACAGAUGAGCAACACUUACUUAAUGCUGCUGAACUGGAACCCCAGGUUAUUUAUAUAGCUAUUCAAAGCAGCACACAUGUGAAUAAAGGCUAACAUUUUAAAAAUAAAGUAGAUUUUUUAAAAAAAAGUAAUUCAAUGCUUUUCCUCCAUUCUAAUUUUGGGGGAAAAAAAUCUACAUGCAAUUUUUGAUCUGGGCCACAGCAGGACUGGGUGCAUGUAACUCUUGCACUGAGAUGAAACUGUUUUCUUAUAGAAAGGUAAGGUCAGGAGCUGUAAGGCCACGCUGAAUCAGCAAACUGCCCAGUAGCACUCUUUUAAUUCUUUUUUAAGAACUCAGCAGGUGUGGAAGUCGUUCUGACCUCAGGUUUUUUUUGCAAGCCAGUUCUGCCACCUCUCAUGCAGCUACAAUGUAUAUGCAAACCUAGUUUAACGUCCACAAAAGAUACACACACACACUUACAGUUCCUGCAAACAUCCCUGUCUGCUCCUUUCAUCACUGUCUGCAAGUUUGCAGCACUGUUUGCUCUACUGACUGAGGAAAAAGCAAUGUGCUCCUAGCAGAGGCUUGCCAGGCACACACAGGAACUAUUUGCUAAAUCAUGAGAAAGUGACAAGUGGCCCUUUCUGCUCGGAUUUUAUCUCCUGCUGGGAAACUUCUUCCCAGUGGAGCCAAGGCACCCUCGGUUCCUUACUGCCCCCAAGGGGAUUCCUGGUGUUGGACCAGCCUUGGCACAUGCAGCUGAAAACACCCAAAGCUCUCCUCAUCUAGCACGCACCAGAAUAUACAGAUGGAAGAUGAGGGAAGUGAAAGUACAGAAGUACUUCGGGUAAAAUGUCACACCAACAAGUUCAAAAGAGACCCCAUGAUCUGAUAAUCAAAGCCAAGAAACUCAUGCUCUGUUCUUUUUCUUACACUACAAUACAGAGCUGUAGAUGUUACACAUGCAAACCAUGUCAGAAAAAGUUUAAAAAAAUUUCAAUCUAGAGGUAACACAUAAACACCUUGCCCAAAGUAUCUAUAGCAUUCCAGCAUUUGAAAAAUCCUGUCUGAAAGACUCCAUGUAAGAAGCUUGCUUCUUCCCCUUUGACAACCUUCCACUCCUAAACUCUCCACAGCUAAGAUUUCAAUCAUUUCAUGUAACCACUCCAUCCUUCUGACAUUUGUAGGAGGCAGUGAAAGGACUGAACCAGGCCCUACUGCACUGUUAAAUCAAUGGUGAUGGUGGCCAGCCAACAGGAAUUCCUCUUUAUCCUUUCCCUGUCACUCACAUUAGAACACAAAAAACCUUAAAUGUAAUUUCUGAAAGUCAGGAUGUCUUCCUAAGCAAACUCUGUUGAGCUCUGACUUACAAAAAAUUAUGAGUUAUAGGGGAUUGCACUUUUUUUCCCCCUAAACAUUGUCAGACACAAAAACUGGGUUGUUAGUCUAAAAAGAAGUCUUAGUAGCUCACACACAGAGGUGAAUCUCACAGACUCACAAGACAUAUCACAAUGAAGUUAUAAAUUCCCUGGAAUUACAAAGAACAAACCUGCAAGGAAAGUAUUAUCUAGCAACUGCACCUUUAUAAAUAUGUUGAUAUUAGAAGAUGAAACAACGCUCUGUAUUGUUUUCAGAGUGUCAUUCCAUAGGUGCAUAGUUAAAAAUAACUAUUUUCAUCACAAUUUCUGAGAAACUCUUUAUACAUGAAGCACAAAGACUAUUUCAAAAGGCAGUAAUGUCUUCCUGCUGCUUUCCAGCAGCUUAAUUGAAGAGUCUGGUUCUAAGUUCGGGUAAAACACAGCUUUUCCCUGUGAGACAGGGACAGAGAUGGGUGAACACCCCAGGGUACCCCAUCAGCUAAAAAGGCUGAGAUGCAAGAGCCAGUGAUCUCAUUCCCAAUAACUUCUUUUCACAGUGAGAAAAGUAACGACAAGGAGACCAAAAUACUUGCUUUUUAACAUGAUCUCAACUCUGAAAGUUCUCACAGCCUUUUAUGGGCAGGCAAUACAACCUGAUGAAACUUAGUGAAAGGAGAAAUAAAGCAUAGAAUGAUUCACGACAUAGCCAAGGUCAAAGGAAAAAUAACAGAGCCUGGACAAAUCAAGAAUCAUACUCUCCAGACCCCUUCUCCAGUCAGGAGAACUUUGUUGACUGAUAGGAUAUGGCGAAGAGAGAUCCAAAUACUUGGUUAACUCUUACCUACUUAGAUAUCUCUUGCACUAAUCAGGAAUAUCAAUUACUGACUGAUGCACA